GGAAACGGCCGUGGGCAUUUUGGUGUAUUUUUAUUCAACUUUGAAAGACAUAUUUUAUUUUUACACAUUUUAUUUUAUACAGUAUAGACAUACAUAUGCAUACACGCCUCCUCUCAUGACAUUAAACUUUUGCACAACUUCACAAUUGUAAAUGAUCACAGAAAAAUGCCUCAAAAUGAAUGUAUCAUAUCCUAGCCCCACCACUUAACCUCUCUGUGCCUCAGUUUUCUCCUCUGUAAAACGGGGAUAAUAAUAGUAUCUACUUUAUAAGUUGCUUGUAAGGGUUCAAUGUGAUUAUGGUGUGAAUGUGGGAAGCGCUCAGAAAGUAUCAUUUUCAUUAUUAUUAGAACUAUUAUUCCUUAAUUGCAAACAUUUAAAUUCUAAUUUUAUUCUAUUGCAAAUGACACUGUAAUGAAUCUCUCUGCUCGGGAGGGUUGUGUGGGAACCUCAGGGAGCUUGCUUCACCCACCCCCGCCCCCCAAAUUAAGCACAACAGGGACAGAGAGAGCGAGGUGUGCUGGGAGGCCCCGUGGCUAAAAGUUAGGAGACCAGAUCUUGGCACUGGCAGCCUGGGGAAGGAGGGCAAAGGGGUGGGGGUGCAGGGAAUGGCAUCUGUGAAAGCUCAGAAGCUUCUAGAAGAGCAUGGGAAGUUCUGAUGUGGUUGCUGGGAUGGCAGUUCUUGUCCCUAUUUGACCUAUGGGUAAUUGAGGGCCAGGAAAGGGGUGACUUGUCUGAUGACGUGGAUGGGCACCAAGUCUGAGCUUCCUGGCUCUCCACAUGCCUGAAAAACAUCUGUGUUUGUUGGGAGAAGGAGAUGAAGAAGAGGAGGAGGAGGAAGAAUUUGGGGCUUUCGAAGCAUGCAUGCCUGUGUGCCCCUGCCCAAUCAAGGUUCAGCUGUCCUGCAAAGCAACCCAGCGGGUCCUGUGAGCUGGAGGCCAGUUUGCCCUGUUUGUCUCCAUGGGUCUUUUCCCUGAUGUCUCCCAAACAGAGACCGUUGGGCUGGCAGCUGGCAGGUCUCCUGAGCUCCACCCUCACCUCCCAUCCCUUCAACCCAGUAGCCUUGCAGACAAAGGCUGGAAAGCCAGGUCCCAUUUCCAGUCAUCAUCCACAGUGCAUAAUUAGGCAGUGCUUGCCUUGUGUUUAUUUAAAGAAGGAGUGUGAACUUGGCAUCAGUGCUUCUGCCAAGAGGGAAGAGCCCCGGAAGGCCCAGAGAAAGCUGGGGGCUUGGGCAGCAGGGGUUUGAGGCCUGAGAGGCCAGGCCGGCCUGUGGUAUAGACAUCGACAAGCAAAGUUUGAGGACUCCUGAAAGUUCUCCAAAAUCUUACCUGCUACCUGUCACCAUUCUCAGUCCGUUAUUAGAACUGUAGCUUCUCAACAGCUUUCUAAGUUCCAAAGAAAAUGCAAAUUAAUACUUCUUGGGGCGCCUCUAUCCUUUAUGGUCUGAAUUUGAGAACAUUGCAAUAGCAGCCUCAUUGCUGCACUAGUCCAAACACUUCUGUGUAACCCUCUUCCACAUGCAGUACUGAGGAGUUCUUGCUGCCUACUGUUUACAGAGGGUAGUCCAAGAAAUAAGAAAUGUCAGUCCCACAUGGUGAAAACUCUGCACUCUAGGGCUUGGGAAUUAUCUGCUAAUAAGACCUGACAUUUCUGAAGGCCAUUAUGAGUUAAACCUCAGGCUCAGAAUGUAUAAUGGGGAGAGAUUCUAGAUACUUCUAGACCACUCUUCUCAUGGAGUAGAAAAAAAUGUAGAGAAACCUCAGAGAGGGGAAGGGACUUACCUACACCAGUUAACGGUAGAGCUAGGACUAGAACACAGGUCUCCUGAUUUCAGUCUCAACUCUCAGGCACCAUGUUGCUUCCCUCCAUUCAAAGAUCAGUGAGGGGGCAGUCAGCACCAGCUGGAGUGUGGCAGUGAAGAGCUCACAGUCCCUGCCCAAGAGGAGCUCCCAGAGGCUGACAAGGGUAUGGGAACAGGGACUCAUCUGAAUCAGAGUGGGUGGAGUUUAGACAGGGGUGGGUCUGAAGAACUGUGGGGAACAGGGUGGUGAGACAGACAUCAGCAAAUUUCCCAAGGGGGUUAGCACAGGAGGUUGAAGGAUGAAUGGGGCUUCUUUACCAGGAGACAUAGGGAAAGGUGUUCCGGGAAAAGGGAAGGGCAAACUCAUGGGAAAAGGAGGCUGAUUUCUCCUGUUCCCAGGUUACAGUGGAUUCCCUGCGGGCUUAACCAGGAUCCCUAGCGCUCAGUGCAGACCCUCCCACGGCAGGGCCCGAGGCUGUAAUCUGUAACCUUAUUGUGACAUAUAUAGUUACAAAGAGAUUGGUUGGACAGGAUGGAUUUUAAUCGAAAAGAGUUAGCCUCUACUGGUGGAAAUGCGGACAUUGUGGCAGGUGAUGAGAAGAAUCCUUUUUGGGGUAGCAGUGGUGAAAACGCUUGCAUGGGUGCGCUGGCAUGCGUGCAGGGACACCUCUUCCUUGUUCUCAAUUCUGUUGACUUUCAAAUUGCAGUUUAAGAGCCAUCUUCCCAUGUCCAACUGUUAAGGUGGCCACUACCCCCUCCCUCUUCUGGACCAUGCCAUCCCCUGCUCUGAGUCUCAGUUUCUCCACAUGUAAAAUGAGGCAGGUGGACUUGCUUGUCUUAAAGGCCCCUUCUGCCUGGGGCUGGUUCUUUAGCCCAGUCUCUGCUUCUCCCUCUGCGGGGAUGUCAGAGGCGCCCUCUCGUGGUCAAUAUUGGCCAUGCAUCCUUGGACUUGGCGCAGGUUUUUGCUUGGCCUCUGAGGGUGUGUGCUUGUGUGUGCAUGUGCGUGUGAGCGUGCCUGUGUACUGGGAGUGGUUACACAGCGGGUGCGUGACAGGCUCAUGACACAUAGAAUGCAGAGCUUCGCUAACUCUCAGACCCUGAUGAAAACACAGAUAAGGAGGUGGGGGUCAUUUAAAAUAAGGGCAAAACCUGCUAAAAGCUUCCUGGGGCCCUUGCCUGGGACACCUAGAGUUCCAAAAUGCCCUAGGCCACCCAUCUUGCUAAUAUACUUUGAGAGCAUCACUCCUCUGCUCAGAAUCUCAUCCUGCCACCCCUCUGCUGAACAGAGUAAACAUCAAACUCCUGGCCCUCCAGAAUACCUGUGGCCUCACUUCUCACUCUUCUUUCCUAUACCACUCCAGGUGAACCACUCCAUCCUUCCCAUCCCCUAUCCUCAGCUUAUGCUGGGAUUUUUUUUCCCAGAGUGUCCUACCCUCUCCUUUAGUCCCCCAUAGCACCUUUCAAGAUGUGGCUAAAAUGCCACCUCCUCCAGGAAGACUCCCUGAAUUUUCCCACUUGGAUCUGUGCUCUCUUUCCUCUGAACCUCCUGGCAACUUUGUCUAUAACUGUCUCCUGGGAUGUAGACAGUUUUAGAGUUUACCCAGGUAAUUUAGGUCGAAGAUGUCCUGUUUUGUUCCCCCUACUCAAAAACUGGCUCCAUGACUGCUUUAUAUCUGGGUCCUUCUAAAUACUGAGCCUUCCCCAUGGCAUCCAGGCAUCCCUCUGCAAGGCCCUGAUUCCCACUCCUUCCCUCUGCCUCCUCCUUCAGUAGGGGCUGCUGUCAUGCAAGGAGGUCUGGCAGUGGAGGAAGAAGACAUGAGCCUUGGGCCAGACUCUUACUGGAUUCCCACCCCACCUGCCCCGUCUUCAGCAGACAAGCUGGUACCCAGCACAAAGGCUCCAGCUGCUGAGCUGUGUGUGGGAGCCUGGUCUCUGGGUGCCCAGAAUGAAGGGUCAGACCCAGGUCACUGCCUGACUCUUUCUUUCAAGGACCGAAGUAAGAACUACAGGCCUAACAGUAACAUCCCUGGCUAUUUGUAGAAGUCCGCUUGGUCGGUCCAUGCUCUAUAACAUGAAUUUCUCAUACAACCCAUUUUUAGAUGGGGAAACAAGAGCUCAGAGAGGCUAGGUAACUUGUUCAAGAUCACACAGCUCUGAGUGCAAGUGUUCAAACAUAGUCCCCACUUUCCAUCCGUCUCCAAAUCCUGUGCAGUUUCUGGAAUAUUCUGCUGUCACUGUGCCUUGCACAAAUCCAGGUUUUGAUAAAUUCCUGGAUAAUAAAAGGCAGACAUGAGUCAACAUAUAACCAGCUCUUUCUCUUUGACUUCCAUAUUGCCCCAGGCCCACACGCGGACCUCUGCAUGAGGGAAGAGUGACAGAACUGGGUUUGUCUGAGAGGGUGAUGGCUCGGGGGGCCAAAGGGAGAGGUGAACCCUGCAUCCCAGGAGGGGUGAAUUCUCUGAUGUGAAUCAUCUGGGUGGUAGGGAGUAAUGGGUCCUGGGCAUGGUGGGGACUGUCACACCCUGAUGCGCUGUCCCAGUUAGGUUGGA
rnacentral:lncRNA from 1 species